rnacentral:tRNA from 1 species
UCCCUGGUAGCUCCAGAUGGUAAAGUGUCUGCCUGAAAUGCAGAUAGAACCCGGGUUCGAUCCCCGGGUUGGGAA